GGCCAGUUAGCUCAGUCAGUUGAGCGUGGUGCUGAUAACACCAAGGUCGUGGGUUCGAUUCCCGUUUGGUCC
rnacentral:tRNA from 1 species